rnacentral:rRNA from 1 species
UCUAAACCGGUCUUUUUGCAAGAACUUAUGGACCUCUCUGUAUCUAUGUCUUGCCCUUGGGUCAUCGUCGGUGAUUUUAACUUGACACUUCGCCCAGCCGACAAAUCCUCGGAUAACUUCAACAUGCACGAAGCUCUUUUCUUUUCUUCGGCUAUCCAAUCCAUGCAACUGCAGGAUCUCCCCCUUCUGGAGAGGAGGUUUACUUGGUCCAAUCAGCAGGACGUGCCGAUUUUAGUACGUCUAGACAGGGCAUUGGUUAAUGUGGCUUGGACUCAAAUGUUCCCAGACAGCUCUCUCUCGUCCUCUACUAGGUCGACCUCUGACCACGUUCCAAUCUGCCUAUCGGCUGCUACUCAAAUCCCGAAGCCCUCUGUCUUUCGUUUAAACAACUCUUCUGAGCAACAAUUUAUUUAA